rnacentral:lncRNA from 1 species
AGAAAACUUGGCUGUUCCAUGAAAUUGGCAGAUGCUACCUAGAACUCAACAAAGCAGCUGAAGCUCGAGACUAUGGUGAAAAAUCCUUGCAGUGCGCAGAGGAGGAAGGAGACAUUGAGUGGCAGCUCAAUGGCGGGGUAUUGGUGGCACAGGCACAGGUGAAACUGGAGGAUUUUCAGUCUGCAGUCACAUAUUUUGAAAAGGCUCUAGAGAAGGCAAAACGUAUCCACAAUGAUGCAGCUCAGCAGGCAAUCAUCAUUGCUCUAGAUGAAGCCAACAAAGGGUUCAUCAAAGAGUUGAAAGAAGAACAGAGACUUGAGAGGAUGCGUGAAUUGAAAGAGUUAGAAGAUGAAGAGGAGGAAGAAGAAGAGUUGAAGGAGGAAGAGCUCAAGAGAGAUGCAGAUGAUACAGAAAAAAAGGAGGAAGCUGAAAAACUUGAAUCUGAAGAUGUGAGAGAGGUAUUAUCCCAAGAAGCAGAAGAGGUGCCUGCACCUGAGAAUAGGGAGAUGCAACAGAUGGAGGGAGAACCAGAUCAAGGAGAAACUGAGAAGAAAGGAGAAGAACAUGAAGAACCUGAGGAAGAACCUGGGGAAGAACUUGGAGAAGAACCUGAGAAAGAAUUAGAACCUGACCCAGAAAAACCGAGUGAAGAAACUGUAGGAUAAGAUUGGUGAAAAUUGUUUUUGGCUUGUAAUUUAGGAACUGUCUUCUUGUAGUAAUCCAUUUUGCCUCACAAUAUUUUCUCUCUACAUUAUCGCUUGUGAUGUUCUGACUACUAAAUAAAAC